rnacentral:rRNA from 1 species
GAUGAACGCUGGCUACAGGCUUAACACAUGCAAGUCGAGGGGAAACGACGGGGAAGCUUGCUUCCCCGGGCGUCGACCGGCGCACGGGUGAGUAACGCGUAUCCAACCUGCCUCUGACUGAGGGAUAACCCGUCGAAAGUCGGCCUAAUACCUCAUGGCAUCGUCUGCGGGCAUCCAACGACGAUUAAAGAUUUCAUCGGUCAGGGAUGGGGAUGCGUCUGAUUAGCUUGUUGGCGGGGUAACGGCCCACCAAGGCUACGAUCAGUAGGGGUUCUGAGAGGAAGGCCCCCCACAUUGGAACUGAGACACGGUCCAAACUCCUACGGGAGGCAGCAGUGAGGAAUAUUGGUCAAUGGGCGGGAGCCUGAACCAGCCAAGUAGCGUGCAGGAUGACGGCCCUAUGGGUUGUAAACUGCUUUUAUGCGGGGAUAAAGUGAGGGACGUGUCCUUCAUUGCAGGUACCGCAUGAAUAAGGACCGGCUAAUUCCGUG